rnacentral:rRNA from 1 species
GAACUGAAGAGUUUGAUCAUGGCUCAGAUUGAACGCUGGCGGCAGGCCUAACACAUGCAAGUCGAGCGGAUGAAGGGAGCUUGCUCCUGGAUUCAGCGGCGGACGGGUGAGUAAUGCCUAGGAAUCUGCCUGGUAGUGGGGGAUAACGUCCGGAAACGGGCGCUAAUACCGCAUACGUCCUGAGGGAGAAAGUGGGGGAUCUUCGGACCUCACGCUAUCAGAUGAGCCUAGGUCGGAUUAGCUAG